AGCUAUUUGUGUACUACCAAAAAGUACCCUGGGAAGGCCAAGUGUAGGCACCUGUUCCCCAGCAGUCCUGGGAAGAUUGCUGGGUGAGAGUGCAGACAUCUGUCCCCAGAAGACUUGGCUAGAGUCUGUGAAGUUUCCUCUAGAAAAUAAUACUGAAAGGAAACAGCUGCACUUCCCUGUGUCCACACCAGGAACACCAUCCUCCUCCUGCAGAACUGAUCCAGUCUUUAUCAGCCCACUGUCUUUCUGGAGCUUUGGAGGGCUGCUGAGCAGAGCUGUUCUUAGAGGGUGGUGGUGGCAGGUUGGAAGGCUACAGACUCCAGCACAGAAAUGGACCUGUACCUGAUGAUUGAGAAGGUGUGGGGCCCCUACAGGUGAUUCUGGAGUGGAAAGGCACUGUGCUGGAAUGGAUCAGGGCCCUGGGGCCCGCAGCAGGGGUGUGUCUACUG